UCGGGAAUUUUGGGCAAUGGGCGAAAGCCUGACCCAGCAACGCCGCGUGAGGGAUGAAGUAUUUCGGUAUGUAAACCUCGAAAGAAUGGGAAGAAUAAAUGACGGUACCAUUUAUAAGCUCCGGCUAACUACGUGCCAGCAGCCGCGGUAAUACGUAGGGAGCAAGCGUUGUUCGGAUUUACUGGGCGUAAAGGGCGCGUAGGCGGCGCGGUAAGUCACUUGUGAAAUCUCUGAGCUUAACUCAGAACGGCCAAGUGAUACUGCUGUGCUAGAGUGCGGAAGAGGCAACCGGAAUUCUUGGUGUAGCGGUGAAAUGCGUAGAUAUCAGAUAGAACACCAAUGGCGAAGGCAGUCACUUGGUCCAUUACUGACGCUAAAGCACGAAAGCGUGGGUAGCAAACA
rnacentral:rRNA from 1 species